UUUCAGAUCUACAACUUCCAUAAUUUUUCAAGUCUGUCAUCAAUACUUCUCCCCCUCCUUUUCCAUUUCUUUCAUUUUACCCUAUCCUUCUAUUGAGCAAAGGAUGCUCCAUUCAAGGAAAAGAAAAUCCAGUCCAAUUUAGAACUAAAACAAGAAAAUAACGUCCAUGAUAUUGAUAUUUAACUAAGAAACAUGAAUUGGCAAUUCAUUUCAGCUUUACAAUCAAUAUCAUCCCAGUUGAGAGGCAAUGCCUCCAGAAUUUAAUGCUGGGAAUUUCCUUUGGGGUGGUGUGGUGUAGAAAGAUCAAA